CUUGCAUCUACAGGUAGGAUGCUGAGGCAGAAGCAGAAACAUACACACAAGGGAUGUCUUGGUUCUCUUUCAAUGGCGGAGACAGCAUAUGUGUUUGUGCAUUACUUGAAGAUCUUCCACUCUACCAGAUGAAACUGGGAAAGGACAAUGUACCAAAGAGUAUCCAAGCACAGAAGGGAAUCUCAGUUUGAAGUUAGAAUUGAAUCCAAGAGGAAGAGAAGCAUCCUUCCUUCAGUGCCUUUGUGGUGGUGCUUGGUGAGAGAUAGUGGUGAAGGCAUUGCCUAAAGAGAGAGGCACUAACAGGCAGAGGAGUGGUUGAGACCAGUAAGAACUGCCCUGCCUGGUGGAGCAGAGGCAGAAGCUGAUGCCCAGGCUCUGCAGCAUCUAUAGGGAACUUGGUGCCUGCAGUGCUCAUCAAAUGAUCCAGAGGCCUCCUUGAACACUGCAAAACCCAGAAGAAAUUACCAUGCCAACGGAGCAGAACCAGAUCCUUUGGGGAAACACAGCGCUGGUGGAAGAACUAUAGCUCCAGCCACAGCUGAACUACAUUUUCUAGCAAUCCUCAGAAUAAGAUGUGGUCAUUGACUGAAUUCUGGACAAUGGAAUGGAGUAGAGUGAAAUACAUCACUCCUAGGUUUGGCCUGUCAAAUCUCAUGCACAAUUCUGUACAUUCAUGUGCCAGCCUCUCCUCGGGUGGGGACUCCAAGCACUUUGGAGUUGGUGGAGCCACAAGAUGGAUCUGAGAUCUUUGCUAAGGUAGGGUUUCCCUGGCUGGCCUAUAGCUGACUGUGACAUAAGAGAGAAAUAAAUUUUGAUUUUCUUAAGCUCCCAAAAGUUUUGAGAUUGUUUGUUACAGCCAUGAGUCUUCCCUGAUUAAUACAAAUGCAAUGUCUAUUCUGUGCCAGCCUUAUUCUGGGUACUAGGGAUGCAACAGGAAACAAAUAAGAGACAUGAUUCCUCCUCUCACAGGAGAUACCUUAUAAAAGGGGUGGCACACAAUAAACAGUGACAACUUACAUUUGCAUGGUGCUUUACUGUUUACACAGUGCUUUCAUGGGCACCAACUCAUUUAAUUUUUUUUUUUUUUUUGAGUUGGAGACUUGCUCUGCUGCCCAGGCUGGAGUGCAGUGGUGCAAUCUCGGCUUAUUGCAACCUCUGCCUUCCAGGUUGAAGCGAUUCUCCUGCCUCAGCCUCCCGAGUAGCUGGGAUUACAGGUGCAUGCCACCGCACCUGGCUAUUUUUUUUUUUUUAUUUUCGGUAGAGACGGGGGUUUCUCCAUGUUGCCGAGGGUGGUCUCGAACUCUUGACCUCAGGUGAUCCACCUGCCUUGGCCUCCCAAAGUGCUGGGAUUACAGGCAUGAGCCACCGUGCCUGGCCCAAUUUUUAUAACAAUAUUUUACAGAUAAGGAAACAAAAGCUCAAAGAUUUUAAGUGUCUUGUAUGAGACAAGGAAUUACGAACUAGACAAAUCAAUCAGUUUUCUGGCUCCCAACCCAUUACUCACAAUGAUUCUCAAGUAUGAGGAUAUGACAGAGCAAGGAAAGUGCUAAUCCUUGUUAGAAAAUUCCAUUAUUCAAUUUUAUGUCUUAAAAUAAUGUAUUCCACACAAGUGUAAGUCUAUUCAUGGAAGCAUUGAUUGUAAGGGCAAAAUACAGAAAACAAAGAUUUAAAUAUCCAUUCGUAAGAGAAUGCACAUAUUGUGAUAUAUUCAGAGAACAGAAAAUUAUAUGGUAGGGAAAAUAAAGAAAUUAGGGAUUCAAGUAUCCCUAAUUUCAAGGAUGAAUCUCACAAUCAUGAUGAAGAAUAAUGAAGGCAAGAAUGAAGAGUACAGAGUAUAAUGCCAUGACAAAGGUUUAAGGUCUUCAUGGGAAUGAUAAACACCAAAUUUAGGAUAGUGACUCUGCAGAAGAGAAGAAGGCCGAUGCAAUCAGAGAGAGUUAUGCUGAGGAGAUCAACUGUAUUGGCCAUAUUUCAUUCUUAAGCUGGGUGGUGAAUAUUACAUUAUUCUGGAUUAUCUUCCUUUUGUCCGUCUGAAUCUGUUUUCUACCUUCUCAUUUCUGCCCUCUGUCCUGAGAGGCUGACUUGUGUGGUCUUCUAUAGGAUCAAUGGGCUCCUUGUCCCAGCUUUCAGAAGAUCAUAAGGUGGAAGAGAAUGAAGUCUCAGCUUCCUGACUUUUUAGGAUGACUUUGGGCUGGCCAGGUCUCUUAAGCAGAGGUCACAUCUCCUGUUUGGAGGCCCUCUCUACCCAGCCCACUGUGAGUUUUGGUAAUUGCCCAGUCCCCUUGUGCCUGCAGGGCCAGAAAUGGAAAUGUCCUAUUGUUAACACUCAGUUACUACACCAUUCCUUACAGUUUUCCGAAACCCUGCCACCCAAGCUGGAGUGCAGUGGCUGGAUCAUAGCUCACUGCAGCCUUGAACUCUUGGGCUCAAGCAAUGCCAGGGAGCUGAAGCUAAAGGCAUAUGCUACCACCUGUGGCUAAUUUUAACUAUUUGUUUUUAA
rnacentral:lncRNA from 10 species